UACGUAGGUGGCAAGCGUUGUCCGGAUUUAUUGGGUUUAAAGGGUGCGUAGGUGGCCCUGUAAGUCAGUGGUGAAAUAUCUCAGCUUAACUGAGAGGGUGCCAUUGAUACUGCAGGGCUUGAGUACAGAUGAGGUAGGCGGAAUUGACGGUGUAGCGGUGAAAUGCAUAGAUAUCGUCAAGAACACCGAUAGCGAAGGCAGCUUACCAAGCUGUAACUGACGCUGAGGCACGAAAGUGUGGGGAGCAAACAGG
rnacentral:rRNA from 1 species